rnacentral:rRNA from 1 species
UACGGGGGGGGCAAGCGUUGUUCGGAAUUACUGGGCGUAAAGGGCUCGUAGGCGGCCAACUAAGUCAGACGUGAAAUCCCCAGGCUCAACCUGGGAACUGCGUCUGAUACUGGAUGGCUUGAAUCCGGGAGAGGGAUGCAGAAUUCCAGGUGUAGCGGUGAAAUGCGUAGAUAUCUGGAGGAAUACCGGUGGCGAAGGCGGCAUCCUGGGCCAACACUGACGCUCAUGCACGAAAGCGUGGGGAGCAAACAGG